rnacentral:rRNA from 1 species
CGUGGGGAAUAUUGGACAAUGGGGGCAACCCUGAUCCAGCAAUGCCGCGUGUGUGAAGAAGGUCUUCGGAUUGUAAAGCACUUUCGACGGGGACGAUGAUGACGGUACCCGUAGAAGAAGCCCCGGCUAACUUCGUGCCAGCAGCCGCGGUAAUACGAAGGGGGCUAGCGUUGCUCGGAAUGACUGGGCGUAAAGGGCGCGUAGGCGGCGGCGUAAGUCAGAUGUGAAAUUCCUGGGCUUAACCUGGGGGCUGCAUUUGAGACUGCGUUGCUAGAGGAUGGAAGAGGCUCGUGGAAUUCCCAGUGUAGAGGUGAAAUUCGUAGAUAUUGGGAAGAACACCGGUGGCGAAGGCGGCGAGCUGGUCCAUUACUGACGCUGAGGCGCGAUAGCGUGGGGAGCAAACAGGAUUA